rnacentral:misc_RNA from 1 species
UAGAAGUCCAACUUACAGAUAUUCACUCCAUUUGGAACUACCUCAAUAAUCUAAGAUUUUGUACAUCAUAUGCUUAGCAGAUCCGCAUGACUGAACGACAUAAAUUAGUCUUACACUUGAUGUAUAAAUAGCCUUAUAUUUAUAUCUUUAACAAAUGAUCUAAUCAUUGAUGCAAUAGUUGAUCUUCAGCCACGAGGCACAUCAAAACUCUUGAUCUUUGGCAAUACCACCUGCAGUGCCACUGCAACAGUAAUCACCACAUAAACUUGCGUCUCGACCUAUGACGAAAUUGCUUUUUCAUCACACACCAGGAACUGGGGAAGGUGCUCAAAUUGCCAAUCAGCUUAGCCCCAUACCAAGCAGAAUCUACGCCAUAUGGGGGAGGAAGUACUCUGAUUCCAUUACUCAUGCAUGGAGGAAGAAGUUCACACACUUCCUUCUCUAAUCUUUCUGCUAAUCCAGGCAAACAUGCACUUCCCCCAGCCAAAACUACUGUUUUGUACCAGCUAUCAUCAACCAUUAAUUCAGCGUCAUGGCAGUGCUCCAUGCACAGCGCCACAGCAUUCUGUAAACCCAUAGCACGCACUCCUGCAAUGCGAGGCUGGAACAAAAUCUCUCCUGUUUUAAAGCGCUCUUCUGAAAGUGUAAAGCAACCUUCAGACCCGAUCUGAAAAGAUGCGUUGGUAUCUUUGGAUAGUUCAGCUUCAUAAUCAAGUGCAAUAUAACAAAGGUUCUCUUUCAGAGUCCGCACAGUGUAAAGUGACCCAAAAUAAAUAUUCUUCUGUUGCAUCUGCUCCUUAAGGAAUCCUGUAAGCUUCAAUGCUCCAAUUCCCACAACUUCCACACCUACUUGGUGCAUGACUUUACCGUAGAGAAUUGGAACAAUAGAUGUCUGGUUAAACCCAAUGUUGACUACUAUUCCUGAAACUUUCCUUGCAGCAAAUAAAGCUAAAACAGCCUGGUUGACAGCACAAACAGCAGGAACAUUCAUGUCAAAUAAUGCAGAAUGGAUCGCGUCUUUUAACUGCGUUCUAGCUGCUUUAUCAGAUUCAGUA